rnacentral:rRNA from 1 species
UGGGGAAUCUUCCGCAAUGGGCGAAAGCCUGACGGAGCAAUGCCGCGUGAGUGAAGAAGGCCUUCGGGUUGUAAAACUCUGUCCUUAUCGAAGAGAGGUGGGUAUGUGAAUAAUGUACCUAUAGGACGGUAGAUAAGGAGGAAGCCCCGGCUAACUACGUGCCAGCAGCCGCGGUAAUACGUAGGGGGCGAGCGUUGUCCGGAAUCACUGGGCGUAAAGGGCGCGUAGGCGGUUUAAUAAGUCAGUGGUGAAAACUGAGGGCUCAACCCUCAGCCUGCCACUGAUACUGUUAGACUUGAGUAUGGAAGAGGAGAAUGGAAUUCCUAGUGUAGCGGUGAAAUGCGUAGAUAUUAGGAGGAACACCAGUGGCGAAGGCGAUUCUCUGGGCCAAGACUGACGCUGAGGCGCGAAAGCGUGGGGAGCAAACAGGAUUAGAUACCC